rfam:Haemonchus contortus, ISE/inbred ISE, WGS project CAVP01000000 data, contig: Hcontortus_1132
AUCCUUCCUUCUUGGCGCUCCUACUUCAAUCCGAGUAGAAGUGUAUGUAAUGGGAGGUAGAUCAUGCCCUAUGGGUAUUCGGGUCUCCUUCGGUGCUAUUCCUAUAAAACUUCGAAUAGUAUCAUCCUCUGGAUUCGAGACAUCG